UAAAAAUAAAAAAAAGUAGACGAGGGAUAUUGCGACAUCUCAGUGUGUAUUCAGAAUGGCGUCCAAAGCUUGCCCUUAAUUCGUAAUCCAAUUCUUCCAUUCACGUGUGCAAACAGGCAAAGCGUCCACAGCAAGAGGAGGGAUUCUGCAGUGAAGUUUAGCACGAAGCAACUCCACUAUCUGCACCAUGGGUGAGGAGAUCCUCUUUUGUAACUUGCCAACUGGAAGCUAGGGUCAAGGUUCACGAGCUUCGGGCCAAAAGCAAGGCAGAACUUCUGAACCAGUUGAAGGACCUCAAGGCAGAGCUUUCCUUGCUUAGGGUUGCAAAAGUCACAAGAGGGGCUCCCAACAAGCUCUCCAAGAUAAAGACUGAGGCUUUCAGUUGCUCAGGUUUUGAAGGUGAUUUCGCAGAAGCAGAAGGCAGCGUUGAGGGAAGCGUACAAGAAGAAGAAGUUGCUGCCCCUCGAUUUAAGGCCAAAGAAGACCCGUGCCAUCAGGCGGCGCCUAACCAAGCACCAGGAGACGUAAAAAAUUUCGUUUAUGGUGGAGAUCAAAGUGUCCACAUCUACACGUAGAUUUAGCUACAGCUGGAAAUGGACAUAUGCCAGUGAAUUAGAGAAGUAAAUAGAAGUCAUGUCUUAUUUAUGAAAGGGAGAGGAGAAGCUAGGCUUCUCUGAAGACAGAAUGUGAGAAGACGCAGAAGAUGUACUUUCCCAUGAGGAAGUAUGCAAUCAACAUGUAGGUCGCAGGUUCUGAUUUUAUCCUAGUUCUCUAGAAUGGGUUUGUUUGUAUAUUGCCUCACUGAGAUUCAUAAUCUGGCAUCACAUGGUCCCUUUUUUGGUAAAUAAACUAUUUUUGUCCAUCUCUCCUUGAGCAAUGAGAUUUUGAGAAAUUUUUCACCCUUUUUUCAAGUUAGAAUUACCUUGGGUGGGACCUUGCUUUUAAGUGCCAACCACGCAUAUUCAGAGCUGAUCAAUAGGUUCGCCUAGGUGAAUCAUUCCUCUUGGACAAGUUCUUACAUUGAGCUGUUAAUGUAAGAUAGGAAUUGAGAACCACUAAGAUGUAUUAUCGUAGAUUAGUCUUGUAGUAGGGAUUGAAUUCCAUAUUGAACUCUUAAAGAUCUGAUUUCUUGAUUAGAAGGAUUUCAUUAGUAGGGGUUAUAUUUUAACUGAUUAUUAAGCUUUUUUUAUGUAAUUUUUUAAAAUUAGCCGACUCCAAAUAGUUGGGAUAAGACUCGGAUGAUGAUGAAGCUUUUUUUUUUAAAAAAUGUUGAUAACAUUGGCUAAGGUUU